GAGGGUAGAGCUCAGUGGUAGCGUGCGUGCUUAGAGUGCCUGAGGUCCUGGGUUCAAUCCCCAGUACCCCUA
rnacentral:tRNA from 1 species